GAUCAUGACUCAGGAUGAACGCUGGCGGCGUGCCUAACACAUGCAAGUCGAACGAGGUAAAUAAGAGGAAGUUUUCGGAUGGAAUCGUAUUUACCGAGUGGCGGACGGGUGAGUAACGCGUGGAUAACCUGCCUCACACAGGGGGAUAACAGUUGGAAACGACCGCUAAUACCGCAUAACCCGCUAGGGCCGCAUGGCCCGGACGGAAAAGAUUUAUCGGUGUGAGAUGGACCCGCGUUGGAUUAGCUAGUUGG
rnacentral:rRNA from 1 species